rnacentral:rRNA from 1 species
UACGGGGGGAGCAAGCGUUGUUCGGAUUUACUGGGCGUAAAGGGCGCGUAGGCGGUCAGCACAAGUCAGUUGUGAAAUCUCCGAGCUUAACUCGGAAAGGUCAACUGAUACUGUGCGACUAGAGUGCGGAAGGGGCAACUGGAAUUCUCGGUGUAGCGGUGAAAUGCGUAGAUAUCGAGAGGAACACCAGUGGCGCAGGCGGCGUCCUGGACCGGCACUGACGCUGAGGAGCGAAAGCGUGGGGAGCGAACAGG